GUGUGUGGACUGUCUGGUAGGUAAAUCCGCUGGGCGUGAAGGUUGAGGCAUGAUGGGGAGCCCACGGUUGUGGGUGAGUGAGUGAUCCUGUACUGUCGAGAAAAGCUUCGUGAGCGAGGUGGCGGGUCCGCCCGUACCCUAAACCGACACUGGUGGAUAGGUAGAGUAUACCGAGGCGAUCGAGUGAAUCGUGGUGAAGGAACUCGGCAAAAUGCCCCCGUAACUUUGGGAU
rnacentral:rRNA from 1 species